rnacentral:rRNA from 1 species
AAGUUCAAUGCUGAUGGAGUGUUCUCCACGUCCUCGGCCUACAAAGCGCAAUUCGGGGGGCACACCAUUUCGCCUAUGUAUGCUGCUGUUUGGAGAGCCUGGGCACCCCCAAAAUGCAAACUCUUUGCAUGGCUUGUGAUUCAUAACAGAGUUUGGACCGCGGAUAUGCUUGUUUGUCGCGGAUGGCCCAACUGCGGUCUUUGCCCUCUCUGCAAGCAAGUUCAAGAGACGUCGACACAUCUCCUCUGUCACUGCCGCUUCUCGGUGAGAUUUUGGUCUGCCAUUGUUGAUUGGUUUGGCCUACCGGAUGUCAAACCCCGAGACUGGAGCACGAUGGGCAGCGUCCACGAGUGGUGGAUCGGUGUCUCGCAAACUAGAGGUUAUUCAAGGAAGGCCAUGUCCUCCAUGCUAAUGUUGAUCUCCUGG